rnacentral:rRNA from 1 species
UACAGAGGUCUCAAGCGUUGUUCGGAUUCAUUGGGCGUAAAGGGUGUGUAGGUGGCGCCGUAAGUCGGGUGUGAAAUUUCGGAGCUUAACUCCGAAACUGCAUUCGAUACUGCGGUGCUUGAGGACUGGAGAGGAGACUGGAAUUCAUGGUGUAGCAGUGAAAUGCGUAGAGAUCAGGAGGAACACCGGUGGCGAAGGCGGGUCUCUGGGCCGAUACUGACGCUGAGGAGCGAAAGCGUGGGGAGCGAACAGG